GACGAACGCUGGCGGCGUGCCUAAUACAUGCAAGUCGUACGCUUCUUUUUCCACCGGAGCUUGCUCCACCGGAAAAAGAGGAGUGGCGAACGGGUGAGUAACACGUGGGUAACCUGCCCAUCAGAAGGGGAUAACACUUGGAAACAGGUGCUAAUACCGUAUAACAAUCGAAACCGCAUGGUUUUGAUUUGAAAGGCGCUUUCGGGUGUCGCUGAUGGAUGGACCCGCGGUGCAUUAGCUAGUUGGUGAGGUAACGGCUCACCAAGGCCACGAUGCAUAGCCGACCUGAGAGGGUGAUCGGCCACAUUGGGACUGAGACACGGCCCAAACUCCUACGGGAGGCAGCAGUAGGGAAUCUUCGGCAAUGGACGAAAGUCUGACCGAGCAACGCCGCGUGAGUGAAGAAGGUUUUCGGAUCGUAAAACUCUGUUGUUAGAGAAGAACAAGGAUGAGAGUAACUGUUCAUCCCUUGACGGUAUCUAACCAGAAAGCCACGGCUAACUACGUGCCAGCCGCCGCAGUAA
rnacentral:rRNA from 1 species